AGCCAGACUCUGUCUCGGGAAAAAAAUAAAUAAAUAAAUAAAAUAAAAUAAAAAAAUAACAUUUCAAGUAGGUAGCCUCUGGAAAACUCCAUUGUAUAUCUAAGAAUAAGAAAGAAAAAUGGCAAGUAGUGUCUUAAAACACUGCUAGAAGACUGUUUUAAUCUCACGUACUCUCUAAAAGGUUCUCGGGAUCCCCAGGAGAGUCCUCAGACUACAUUAACCACUGCUUUCAAGUUUAAUGUUAAAAAUCAGGACACAGGCCUGGUGCGGUGGCUCAUGCCUGUAAUCCCAGCACUUUGGGAGGCCGAGGCAGGCAGAUCACCUGAGGUCAGGUGUUCGAGAUCAGCCUGCUCAACAUGGUGAAACCCUGUCUCUACUAAAAUACAAAAAUUAUCCAGGCAUGGUGACACGCACCUGUAAUCCCAGCUACUUGGGAGGCAGAGGCACGAGAAUCGCUUGAACCCGGGAGGCGGAGGUUGCAGUGAGCUGAGAUCACACCACUGCACUCCAGCGUGGGUGACAGAGCGAGACUCCGUCUUAAAAAAAAAAAAAAAGAAAAAGAAAAUGAGGACAUGGUUAGGAAUUUGUAGACAAGAACUUAAAACAAGACUAAGCAAGGUGAAUGGACUGCUGUUUAAAUAAACCACAGAAAGACAGUUCCACAUCUGCAAGAUUCUACCAAAUCUGCAUAGCAAAAAGUAGUAAAACAAUGUGAUGUGGGAAGUGCUCAAGAGGUCUGUUUUGCCAUUUGUCACUGAAGAUGGAUGGGUGUAAUGUUUGUGUAUUUGAGGCAGGGGUCCCUUACCUGAACAAAUCUGCAACGUAGAUAUAAAAAAUUUAGGUGGCUGGGUGCGGUGGCUCACCAAUAGUUGAAGAUUUUAAUAUCACCUCUCUGCAAUUAUAGAACUGAACCACACAGACACACAGACACCCAGACACACACACACACACACACACACACAAAACCAUCAGUAAAGAUAAAAGAUCUGCAGCUUGGGAAACAUGGUGAAACCCAUCUCUACAAAAAAUACAAAAAUUAGCCACACAUAGUGGCAUGCACCUAUAGUGCCAGCUACUUGGGAGGCAGAGGUGAGAGGAUUUGUUAACCCUGGGAGGU
rnacentral:lncRNA from 1 species